rnacentral:lncRNA from 1 species
CCGCGCCCCAGCUGCAUUUCCGCCCGCUCUGGGAGGGAGGGUGGGUUUCUUUUGGUUCCUGCCGCCUCCCCGAGCGGUCCCGAACCUUCCAGCACCGUGCCGCACCUUCUCCGCGUCGUUCCCUUUGACCCCCGCCGACAACAGUCCCGGCGCCCCGGGCCGUGCGAGCUCUGCGGCUGUCUUGGAAGCAGAUGGAGACUGUCCCUUGGACGGCUUUGCGGGCCGAGCCGCAGGCAGCACCCCUUUCUGCCCCGCAGGACCGUGGUCCGCAGCGCCAGAUGCCCCCCCACCCCCGUGUGCAGGGCUGAGGCCUGCUGGGGACAAGUUGGGUCUGUUGCAGAUGAGCCCACCGUGUGCAGAGGCAUCGUGGGAAUUGUAUCAGGAACAUUCUAGACCCCAGUGUCCUUGA